rnacentral:tRNA from 1 species
GCGGGUAGCUCAGUGGUAGAGCGUUCGAUUGCAGCUCGAAGGGUCACUGGUUC